rnacentral:rRNA from 1 species
UACGUAGGUGGCAAGCGUUGUCCGGAUUUAUUGGGUUUAAAGGGUGCGUAGGCGGUCUUCUAAGUCAGUUGUGAAAUACGGCAGCUUAACUGUCGAGGUGCAAUUGAUACUGGGAGACUUGAGUACUGAUGAGGUAGGCGGAAUGGACGGUGUAGCGGUGAAAUGCUUAGAUAUCGUCCAGAACACCGAUAGCGAAGGCAGCUUACUAAUGAGUAACUGACGCUGAGGCACGAAAGUGUGGGGAUCAAACAGG